rnacentral:pre_miRNA from 14 species
UCUUCGGUGUCUGGGGUGGUCGCGAAGAUCCCGGACGAGCCCCCAAAAUGAAAGAUCCCCGAAGAGAGACCCUUUCUAAAGUCGCGGGAAAUCGCACACCCCAGACACAGAGAGAUCA